rnacentral:sRNA from 1 species
AAGACUGUUACCGCCUGCACAUACGCCGUAACAAAAACCGGGAUCAUCGGUAACGAUGGCCCG